GACGAACGCUGGCGGCGUGCUUAACACAUGCAAGUCGAACGGAAAGGCCCUGCUUUUGUGGGGUGCUCGAGUGGCGAACGGGUGAGUAACACGUGAGUAACCUGCCCUUGACUUUGGGAUAACUUCAGGAAACUGGGGCUAAUACCGGAUAGGAGCUCCUGCUGCAUGGUGGGGGUUGGAAAGUUUCGGCGGUUGGGGAUGAACUCGCGGCUUAUCAGCUUGUUGGUGGGGUAGUGGCUUACCAAGGCUUUGACGGGUAGCCGGCCUGAGAGGGUGACCGGCCACAUUGGGACUGAGAUACGGCCCAGACUCCUACGGGAGGCAGCAAUGGGGAAUAUUGCACAAUGGGCGGAAGCCUGAUGCAGCAACGCCGCGUGCGGGAUGACGGCCUUCGGGUUGUAAACCGCUUUCGCCUGUGACGAAGCGUGAGUGACGGUAAUGGGUAAAGAAGCACCGGCUAACUACGUG
rnacentral:rRNA from 1 species